UAGAUACCCUGGUAGUCCACGCCGUAAACGAUGGAUACUAGCUGUUGGAGGUAUCGACCCCUUCAGUAGCGAAGCUAACGCGUUAAGUAUCCCGCCUGUGGAGUACGGCCGCAAGGCUAAAACAUAAAGGAAUUGACGGGGACCCGCACAAGCGGUGGAUUAUGUUCUUUAAUUCGAUGAUAACCGAAGAACCUUACCAGGGCUUGACAUCCAGGGAAGGUCUGCGAAAGUAGACUGUGCCUUUUGGAAC
rnacentral:rRNA from 1 species